GACGGAGGAUGCAAGCGUUAUCCGGAAUGGUUGGGCGUAAAGCGUCCGCAGGUGGCAGUUCAAGUCUGCUGUCAAAGACCGGGGCUUAACUUCGGAAAGGCAGUGGAAACUGAAAGGCUAGAGAGCCGUAGGGGUAGAGGGAAUUCCCGGUGUAGCGGUGAAAUGCGUAGAGAUCGGGAAGAACAUCGGUGGCGAAAGCGCUCUACUGGACGGUAUCUGACACUGAGGGACGAAAGCUAGGGGAGCGAAUGGG
rnacentral:rRNA from 1 species